CCAGCCGCCGCGGUAAUACGGAGGAUGCAAGCGUUAUCCGGAAUGAUUGGGCGUAAAGCGUCCGCAGGUGGCAAGUCAAGUUUGCGGUUAAAGGUUCUGGCUCAACCAGAGACAGGCCGUGAAAACUGACUAGCUAGAGUAUGGUAGGGGCAGAGGGAAUUCCCAGUGUAGCGGUGAAAUGCGUAGAGAUUGGGAAGAACACCGGUGGCGAAAGCGCUCUGCUAGGCCAAAACUGACACUGAGGGACGAAAGCUAGGGGAGCGAAUGGGAUUAGAUACCCCAGUAGUCCUAGCCGUAAACGAUGGAUACUAGGUGUAGCUUGUAUCGACCCAAGCUGUGCCGUAGCUAACGCGUUAAGUAUCCCGCCUGGGGAGUACGCGCGCAAGCGUGAAACUCAAAGGAAUUGACGGGGGCCCGCACAAGCGGUGGAGUAUGUGGUUUAAUUCGAUGCAACGCGAAGAACCUUACCAGGACUUGACAUGUCGCGAAUCUUACUGAAAGGUAGGAGUGCCUUAGGGAGCGCGAACACAGGUGGUGCAUGGCUGUCGUCAACUCGUGUCGUGAGAUGUUGGGUUAAGUCCCGCAACGAGCGCAACCCUCGUUUUUAGUUGCCAUCAUUAAGUUGGGCACUCUAGAGAGACUGCCGGUGACAAACCGGAGGAAGGUGGGGAUGACGUCAAGUCAGCAUGCCCCUUACGUUCUGGGCUACACACGUACUACAAUGCUACGGACAAAGGGUAGCAAGACAGCGAUGUCAAGCCAAUCCCAUAAACCGUGGCUCAGUUCAGAUUGCAGGCUGCAACUCGCCUGCAUGAAGGCGGAAUCGCUAGUAAUCGCAGGUCAGCACUACUGCGGUGAAUACGUUCCCGGGCCUUGUACACACCGCCCGUCACACCAUGGAAGCUGGCUUAGCCCGAAGUCGUUACCCUAACCGUAAGGAGGGGGAUGCCGAAGGCAGGGCUGGUGACUGGGGUGAAGUCGUAACAAGGUAACCAAG
rnacentral:rRNA from 1 species